AAGAAACAACUCGAGUCGUUAUUUGUCUUCUCAUUGAUCUGUAAGAAACAAUCAACACACAAUUAUAUUAUUAUCUAUAUUGUGCUAACAUCAAUAAUCAAAAAUAUUUCCUACCCAAAUUUUGUGGUCGUCUAUUUAUUUCCCUUACUUAUCAAACUAAUUUUACAUAAGCCUUAAUUUUACAGAUUAAAAGAAACCACAACAACCCAAACAAUCAAAACACCAAAAACUAGAAUUCCAAAAAAAAACAAAUCAUUAAUGAUCACCUCUCUUUUUUGCCCAGUCUUAGAAAUAUAUUUCAAAACAAAUAUACCAAACAAAUCACCUCAACUAAAACUCAACGUCACAUACAUCGAGUCAGCUAAACAAAUACAAACUACACGACCAACUAUUUAACAAUUAAUUUACAAACUUACUUUCGCAUCAACACAUACAUCGAGUCAG
rnacentral:lncRNA from 1 species